GUGAUUUUCAAAUGAUAAACUCAAGUUUUUAAUGCAGAGAGCCCUUAAAGCUUCACUUUUAUUGACAAAAGCUGGUUUGUGCUUCUCAUUACAAGUUUGGGAAGAUGGCUGGUGCAUGUUGUGCUCCCUAAUGCACAGUAUAAGUGACCCAAAGUAAUGUGUAAACCGAUACGCUCAGAGAUGCUGAAAACACUGGAUCAUGAGCUGCUUGUGUGUAAAAGAAUACAGUGAUGUGCUUCACUCUGAAACACACAGCACAUAAAUUUAACUAAAUCACAGCCUUUGAAAUUUGAUAAUCUAUUUUAUUUUGAUGAAUCGUGCAGCCAUAGUACUAGUCCAACUCCUGGGACUGCUGCAUCAGAAACAAGGCCUAACCAUGGUUUCCCUGAUAUAGCUAAAAGUUGCAACCGGCUCCAAACUGAAGUAUAUACAAACUGAAAGUGCAGCAGUCUUGGCGAGAGCUUCCUGUCAUCAGUAUUCCUCCUGUGGGGCUUCCUAGCCGCAGUUCCAUGGUUAUGCUGCAGUUAAGCACUCUCUCGCGCUGUCUGUCGCUCUCUCAUUCUCCCUCUCUUUGUGACUGUCGGUUUAGGGGGUGGGAGAGAAGGAAGUGACCUACAUAGCACCGUUCCCUCGCCUCGGCUGUCUUUUGCAUUUCAAGGGAUAAUGAAUAAUUUACAGCUCCUCUCCCUCCCGUGAAAACGUGACAGCCUUCAAUACAAUUAACGUAUUUAACAAGCCCCGGUGACAAUCAGUGCACUGCCACUCAAAGGACCCGGAUAGAGGCUUGGAUCCAAGAGCCCGAGGCACAUCACUGGAAAAAGAGAGAGAGAGAGAGAAAAAAUAACAGUGCCACAGCAGAGCGCAGUGUUAUCCAACGCGAGCUCUGCUUUGCUGCAGGCGGCUCCAUCCCAAACCUCAGCCCUAUCUUGAACAAACAUCACACAGCCGAGAUGAAAAAGAGGGAAAUCGAUGCAGGGGAGAGCGCGCCGUGUAGAGAGCCUGGCUUUGCUUUGAUCGAAGGUUGACUGACAAGACCUUCAGCCCUGUGAUCUCCGGCAUGAUGAAGGACCGGAGCCAUGGUGGUGCAACAACGUGUGUUUGUUGUAUUUUGUGUGGUGUAGGUUUUGUGUAUUUGUGUAUAUGUUUUUUUAAAAAAAAAUUACUUGAAAACCUAGCAAGCCGCCUACGGAGGCGGUAUUUUAAAACUUCAUAGGCACUCUCCUGACACAAAAUCUUUUUCAAAAGGUCAUCGUAAUUAUGCUGCUGCCUAAGUUACCAUCUUUAGGUCAAAUUUUCAAGUGGAAUCACUAUGCUAAGACAGAAAAUUAUAUUUAUAACAAAUAAUAUAAAUAAAUAAAAACAGCAUUGUUAUUGUUAAAGGAGU
ensembl:lncRNA